GGUUAGAGUGCGUUCGGGGUUGUUGCUGGUUCCUUUUCAGAAGGAGUAUGUGCACGCCUCGCAAUCCAUUUCAAACCACACUUGUGCACUUCAGAGGGGUUCUUCCCCUCUUUACUUAUAAACCACAUUAUAAAGUCUUUUUGUAAAAUUGGGUUGGAAAAUUAAUAUAUAAUACAACUUUCAACAACGGAUCUCUUGGCUCUCGCAUCGAUGAAGAACGCAGCGAAAUGCGAUAAGUAAUGUGAAUUGCAGAAUUCAGUGAAUCAUCGAAUCUUUGAACGCACCUUGCGCUCCUUGGUAUUCCGAGGAGCAUGCCUGUUUGAGUGUCGUGUAAUUCUCAAUCUUAACAUCUUGUUAUAGAUUGGAUUUGGGAGUUUGUUGUGCCUCUCUUUUUGUGAGGUUAGACUCUCCUUGAAUGUAUUAGCUCGGUCACGUAGUUUGCCUGACAGUUCACGGUGUGAUAGUCUCACUUCAUCGCCGUUCUAACUGUUGGUGCCUGUGUCUUUGCCGGCUUCUAAACCUCAUUAUUAUUACCUUUGACGCUUGACCUCAAAUCAGGUAGGAUUACCCGCUGAACUUAAGCAUAUCAAA
rnacentral:rRNA from 1 species